GGCGCUGUGGCUUAGUGGUGAAUGCGCCUGUAUCGUAAACAAGAGGUCCUGGGUUCAAAUCCCAGCAGUGCCU